rnacentral:rRNA from 1 species
GUCGAGAGGCUUCCACAAUGGGGGAAACCCUGAUGGAGCGACGCCGCGUGGGUGAGGAAGGUCUUCGGAUCGUAAAACCCUGUCAGGAGGGACGAAAACCGGAUUGGUUAAUACCCUUUCCGCUUGACGGUACCUCCAGAGGAAGCUCCGGCUAACUCCGUGCCAGCAGCCGCGGUAACACGGAGGGAGCAAACGUUGUUCGGAAUCACUGGGCGUAAAGGGCGCGUAGGCGGCUUCUUUAGUCGAGGGUGAAAACCUAUGGCUUAACCAUAGGCCUGCCCCCGAAACUGGGAAGCUUGAGGCCGUAAGAGGAAAGCGGAAUUCCAGGUGUAUCGGUGAAAUGAGUUGAUAUCUGGAGGAACACCGGUGGCGAAGGCGGCUUUCUGGUGCGGUUCUGACGCUGAGGUGCGAAAGCAUGGGGAGCAAACGGGAUUAGAAACCCGGGUAGUCC